ensembl:lncRNA
GGAUGACGGGGGAAAGCUAAACCCUGUGCUGCAGUCAGAGAAGCCUGAGAGCCAGCUGUCUCUCCUGCAAACCACAGAAGAGGCUCGGGCUAGCCGAGGCAAGGGGAGGCUGACAGAGGAGGAGUGGAAAGCCUGUUUAAAAAACAGCUGGACCCCACAUCCAGUUCUGCACACCAUACAGAUAGACACCUUUGACCCCAGGAGGAUAUUGGCUGACAGCCUCCAUGUGUUGUACCUGCAGGAUCCAGCACCACAUUCACAGCCUAGGCCUCUCACCGUGACUGAUAGUGUUUCCUCCUAAUAAAACCUUGUACAUCUCCACUCCGUCACAGUAUCUGCUUUUCAGAGGAACUGAACUGAACAGUUGGUACUAGCAAAUGGUCUGAGAAGGCAGCCUCUAGGGCAGAGAGUGGAUUGCUCACUGGCCGGCAAGGAAAACCCCAACCUCAGUGGGAUGUGGGCCGCAAAUCGUCCCUGGCACAAGGUGGUGUCUCAGCUGCUGACUAUUUCACAGAUGAUGGCCUGAGGAAACAUACCCAGUGCAGAAAAUCAAGCUUACCUAUGCAAUGAAUGAGGCCUUUAAAGACACGAGAGCCAGCGCCUGCAAAGACAAGGGCUAGUCUUUACAAGUGAAUGGAAGCCCUUCAGAGGGAUAACUAGAAACUGAAGGCAGCUAAUGAGAAGUUCAAGGCUAAGUAUGAGAGCCAGUGUAUGCUUGUGGUGGUACUUCUUACAAAGCCAUCCUUAUCUCCCUGCAGUGGCAGAGAACACAGCUCAGGAGCAAUCACGGGACUUUGCAGAUUUACAACUGGGAGCCACAGAGAUGAUUAAACACUCUGUUACACUAAGGUCCGAGCCCUGAAACGUGGGAUGGGGACAUCUAGGUGGAUGUACCCCAGUAUUGAGGCUCAACACACCCCCAAUUCUGUGCUCACUGUCCUACCACCAGCCCCAAACUACAGAGAGGAGCCAGCACUGAAGUUCUUGGUGAUGCUGGUACCUCUCUCACCAGAUGCUGCUUUGCAGACCCUCAGGUCCAGCACUUCCCAGCUGUAUUGUGUUGGGAUGUAAUAACAGUUAUCUGCCUAGCAGCCAGGAGAGGAAACGGGGACAACUCUGAGGGCUAUUCAUUGGGCUGUGGUAGAAAAGCUUCAGUAGGGGCUUACUGUUGUAGGAGAAAUGAGGCAAAAAAGGAUGAUCGUGUCCCAAGUCUUAGGUGAGCCCCUCCAUCAGGCCACCAAGUCAGGGUCCUUGGCUUUGAACAGCAAAGAACUCAAGAGCGAGCCUUAAGGAAGUAAAAGCAGUUUUAUUCAGGGAGAUACGCAUUCAAAGACAGAGCAUGGGCCAUCUCGAAAGCCAGACUUGCACUCUGGGCACGCAGUCAGGGUCUUGGAAAGUGAGAGUGGCCCUGAGGUGUGGGAGUGAUUGGUUUUUGUGGUUUGUUUUGUUUUUAUGUUAUGGUGGUGAAAGUCAUCUAAUAUAAAACAUUAUUUUAACCAUAUUUAUCUAUACCUUUCAGUGGCACUAAAGUACAUUCUGAGAAUGGUUAGUUUUUAUGGGCUGAAUAAUUUCAUAGACUAAUGAGUGGGAGGAUUAUUC